rnacentral:rRNA from 1 species
GAACGCUAGCUACAGGCUUAACACAUGCAAGUCGAGGGGCAUCAGGAAGAAAGCUUGCUUUCUUUGCUGGCGACCGGCGCACGGGUGAGUAACACGUAUCCAACCUGCCCUUUACUCGGGGAUAGCCUUUCGAAAGAAAGAUUAAUACCCGAUAGCAUAAUGAUUCCGCAUGGUUUCAUUAUUAAAGGAUUCCGGUAAAGGAUGGGGAUGCGUUCCAUUAGGUUGUUGGUGAGGUAACGGCCCACCAAGCCUUCGAUGGAUAGGGGUUCUGAGAGGAAGGUCCCCCACAUUGGAACUGAGACACGGUCCAAACUCCUACGGGAGGCAGCAGUGAGGGAUAUUGGUCAAUGGGCGCUAGCCUGAACCAGCCAAGUAGCGUGAAGGAUGAAGGCUCUAUGGGUCGUAAACUUCUUUUAUAUAAGAAUAAAGUGCAGUAUGUAUACUGUUUUGUAUGUAUUAUAUGAAUAAGGAUCGGCUAACUCCGUGCCAGCAGCCGCGGUAAUACGGAGGAUCCGAGCGUUAUCCGGAUUUAUUGGGUUUAAAGGGAGCGUAGGUGGACUGGUAAGUCAGUUGUGAAAGUUUGCGGCUCAACCGUAAAAUUGCAGUUGAUACUGUCAGUCUUGAGUACAGUAGAGGUGGGCGGAAUUCGUGGUGUAGCGGUGAAAUGCUUAGAUAUCACGAAGAACUCCGAUUGCGAAGGCAGCUCACUGGACUGCAACUGACACUGAUGCUCGAAAGUGUGGGUAUCAAACAGGAUUAGAUACCCUGGUAGUCCACACAGUAAACGAUGAAUACUCGCUGUUUGCGAUAUACAGUAAGCGGCCAAGCGAAAGCAUUAAGUAUUCCACCUGGGGAGUACGCCGGCAACGGUGAAACUCAAAGGAAUUGACGGGGGCCCGCACAAGCGGAGGAACAUGUGGUUUAAUUCGAUGAUACGCGAGGAACCUUACCCGGGCUUAAAUUGCAGUGGAAUGAUGUGGAAACAUGUCAGUGAGCAAUCACCGCUGUGAAGGUGCUGCAUGGUUGUCGUCAGCUCGUGCCGUGAGGUGUCGGCUUAAGUGCCAUAACGAGCGCAACCCUUAUCUUUAGUUACUAACAGGUUAUGCUGAGGACUCUAGAGAGACUGCCGUCGUAAGAUGUGAGGAAGGUGGGGAUGACGUCAAAUCAGCACGGCCCUUACGUCCGGGGCUACACACGUGUUACAAUGGGGGGUACAGAAGGCAGCUAGCGGGUGACCGUAUGCUAAUCCCAAAAUCCUCUCUCAGUUCGGAUCGAAGUCUGCAACCCGACUUCGUGAAGCUGGAUUCGCUAGUAAUCGCGCAUCAGCCACGGCGCGGUGAAUACGUUCCCGGGCCUUGUACACACCGCCCGUCAAGCCAUGGGAGCCGGGGGUACCUGAAGUACGUAACCGCAAGGAUCGUCCUAGGGUAAAACUGG